rnacentral:tRNA from 17 species
CGGGGCGUAGCGCAGCUUGGUAGCGCAUCUGCUUUGGGAGCAGAGGGUCGCUGGUUCGAAUCCAGUCGCCCCGACCA